ACAUCCGGGGGACAUUUUCUGCAGCAGUGUCCACCCCUAGGAAGCAUGCUCUCUGUAGUUAAACCAGUCUUACUCGAAAUAUUUGCAUUUAACAUGUCCAUAUCAAAAUAUUUGCAUUUAACACGUCUGAAAAUCUUAACGUGCAUAAUUUCCAGUAAUUAUAAUGAUAGAUGACUUGAUUUCGCUGAUAAAUUGUCGGUUUGAGGAAACACAUGUCUGAGUAGUGUGACUAGGCCGCAUGGGGCGAGGGAAAUGUGGAGGCCCAGUGAUGGAAAUGGGAUUAUUCUAAGUUUUUUGAAGUGGUUGAAUACCCACACGUGGACAGAGGGUGGUGUACUUUCCACUGCAUGACAGAACUGAAUUUUGUGUGGAUGGAUCCCCUGGAGAAACAAAAUAGGACGCCUGUGAAAUGGACGUGGCCACUGUAAAGGUGACAUCAUGGCUCAUUAAUUAACAUUCCUUCAUGUUCCUUUUAUACUUAUUUUGAACUGAUGAAUAAAGCUUUUGUCAACAAGCUUA